AGAGUUUGAUCCUGGCUCAGGAUGAACGCUAGCGACAGGCUUAACACAUGCAAGUCGAGGGGCAGCGGGGAGUAGCAAUACUUCGCCGGCGACCGGCGCACGGGUGAGUAACACGUGUGCAACCAACCCCGUACCGGGAGAUAACCCGCGGAAACGUGGACUAACAUCCCAUGAUACUCGAGAGCCGCAUGGCUCUAGAUUUAAAAUUCCGGUGGUACGGGACGGGCACGCGCGACAUUAGGUAGUUGGCGGGGUAAGGGCCCACCAAGCCGACGAUGUCUAGGGGUUCUGAGAGGAAGGUCCCCCACACUGGAACUGAGACACGGUCCAGACUCCUACGGGAGGCAGCAGUGAGGAAUAUUGGUCAAUGGGCGAGAGCCUGAACCAGCCAAGUCGCGUGAGGGAAGAAUGGUCUAUGGCCUGUAAACCUCUUUUGCCAGGGAAGAAUAAAAGGUACGUGUACCUUCUUGCCAGUACCUGACGAAUAAGCAUCGGCUAACUCCGUGCCAGCAGCCGCGGUAAUACGGGGGAUGCGAGCGUUAUCCGGAUUUAUUGGGUUUAAAGGGCGCGUAGGCGGGACGUCAAGUCAGCGGUAAAAGACUGCAGCUAAACUGUAGCACGCCGUUGAAACUGGCGCCCUCGAGACGAGACGAGGGAGGCGGAACAAGUGAAGUAGCGGUGAAAUGCAUAGAUAUCACUUGGAACCCCGAUAGCGAAGGCAGCUUCCCAGGCUCGAUCUGACGCUGAUGCGCGAGAGCGUGGGUAGCGAACAGGAUUAGAUACCCUGGUAGUCCACGCCGUAAACGAUGCUCACUGGAUCUUGGCGAUACACGGCCAGGGUUCAAGCGAAAGUAUUAAGUGAGCCACCUGGGGAGUACGUCGGCAACGAUGAAACUCAAAGGAAUUGACGGGGGCCCGCACAAGCGGAGGAACAUGUG
rnacentral:rRNA from 1 species